rnacentral:rRNA from 1 species
AUACGUAGGUGGCGAGCGUUGUCCGGAAUUACUGGGUGUAAAGGGAGCGUAGGCGGUUUGGUAAGUUGAGUGUGAAAUCUACCGGCUUAACUGGUAGGCUGCGCUCAAAACUACCAAACUUGAGUGAAGUAGAGGCAGGCGGAAUUCCCGGUUGUAGCGGUGGAAUGCGUAGAUAUCGGGAGGAACACCAGUGGCGAAGGCGGCCUGCUGGGCUUUUACUGACGCUGAGGCUCGAAAGCAUGGGGAGC